rnacentral:rRNA from 1 species
UACGAAGGGGGCUAGCGUUGCUCGGAAUUACUGGGCGUAAAGGGAGCGUAGGCGGACAUUUAAGUCAGAGGUGAAAUCCCGGAGCUUAACUUCGGAACUGCCUUUGAUACUGGGUGUCUUGAGUGUGAGAGAGGUAUGUGGAACUCCGAGUGUAGAGGUGAAAUUCGUAGAUAUUCGGAAGAAACACCAGUGGCGAAGGCGACAUACUGGCUCAUUACUGACGCU